GCCCGCGUAGCUCAGUUGGUAGAGCACGUCCUUGGUAAGGACGAGGUCACCGGUUCAAGCCCGGUCGCGGGCUCCA
rnacentral:tRNA from 1 species